GACAUAGGGGGCAAGCGUUAUCCGGAAUAACUGGGCGUAAAGAGAGCGUAGGCGGUUUUGCAAGUUGAUGGUGAAAGCCCGGGGCUUAACUCCGGAAUUGCCCUCAAAACUGCAAAUCUAGAGUGUGGGAGAGGAAGAUGGAAUUCCUAGUGUAGCAGUGAAAUGCGUAGAUAUUAGGAGGAACAUCAGCGGCGAAGGCGAUCUUCUGGAACAUAACUGACGCUGAAGCUCGAAAGCGUGGGGAGCAAAC
rnacentral:rRNA from 1 species